CUCUUCUCCCCUUUGUCCAUUUUCUGUCUCCUUCUCCCAGCUUUGUUCUUUCUCCUCUGCCUCCACAUCUCUCUAACAAACAGUCACACCAAGCUGACUGUGUGAUAGCAGUCUAUAGGUGUAUUAUACUGAAGGAGAUGUGUGUUCUGCCUUUCAGAUCUCCUCCUCCAGCAGUCUGCCCUCUAACCUCUCCUGUACAUCACACCUCCUCAAACAGACCAUGCAGGUACAGACACACUUCAACGACAACAACCACCCCAGCCACUGCCUGUUCACCCCGCUAUCAUCCAGAAGGCCAGGGUAUGUUUCUGGUUGGCCAGCCAGCAUCACAGGGCGCGGGGAAGCAGGGCGUGGCCAGUUCCACAGGUCACGUGGUGUCAUCCCCGACGACCGUCACCCAGCAGGCCAUCCUGGUCACGACGGGUCAGAUGGCUGCCAUCUUGGCUCAGAUCAGUACUGUCUGGACACAAAAUGGAGGAAAGGUUCCAGGAAGUGGAGGGUCCUGUCAGGCCAAAUCUGUAUCCUACUCUGUUCUGGAAGCAGCAACCAGGUGGCA